GGCCUACCAUGGUGGUAACGGGUAACGGGGUGUUAGGGCACGACACCGGAGAGGGAGCCUGAGAAACGGCUACCACAUCCAAGGAUGGCAGCAGGCGCGCAAAUUACCCAAUCCCGACACGGGGAGGUAGUGACAAUAAAUAACAAUACGGGGUUCUUUCGGAUUUCGUAAUUGGAAUGAGUACAAUUUAAAUCUCUUAACGAGGAACAAUUGGAGGGCAAGUCUGGUGCCAGCAGCCGCGGUAAUUCCAGCUCCAAUAGCGUAUAUUAAAGUUGCUGCAGUUAAAAAGCUCGUAGUUGAAUUUCGGGACCAUCAUGUCGGUCGUGCCUCGGUACGUACUGGCAUCGUCGGUUUCUCCCUUCUGACGAACCAUGAUGUCAUUUAUUUGGUGUUGUGGGGAAUCAGGACAGUUACUUUGAAAAAAUUAGAGUGUUUAAAGCAGGCUCACGCUUGAAUACAUUAGCAUGGAAUAAUGAAAUAGGACGUUUGAUUCUAUUUUGUUGGUUUCUAGGAUCGACGUAAUGAUUAAUAGGGAUAGUUGGGGGCAUUAGUAUUCAAUUGUCAGAGGUGAAAUUCUUGGAUUUAUUGAAGACUAACUACUGCGAAAGCAUUUGCCAAGGAUGUUUUCAUUAAUCAAGAACGAAAGUUAGGGGAUCGAAGACGAUCAGAUACCGUCGUAGUCUUAACCAUAAACUAUGCCGACUAGGGAUCGGAUGAUGUUAAUUUUUUAAUGACUCAUUCGGCGCCUUACG
rnacentral:rRNA from 1 species